rnacentral:rRNA from 1 species
AGAACGAACGCUGGCGGCAUGCCUAACACAUGCAAGUCGAACGAGACCUUCGGGUCUAGUGGCGCACGGGUGCGUAACGCGUGGGAAUCUGCCCUUGGGUUCGGAAUAACAGCGAGAAAUUGCUGCUAAUACCGGAUGAUGACGUAAGUCCAAAGAUUUAUCGCCCAAGGAUGAGCCCGCGUAGGAUUAGCUUGUUGGUGAGGUAAGAGCUCACCAAGGCGACGAUCCUUAGCUGGUCUGAGAGGAUGAUCAGCCACACUGGGACUGAGACACGGCCCAGACUCCGUACGGGAGGCAGCAGUGGGGAAUAGUUGGACAAUGGG